rnacentral:rRNA from 1 species
AUUGAACGCUGGCGGCAUGCUUUACACAUGCAAGUCGAACGGUAACAGGCCUUCGGGUGCUGACGAGUGGCGAACUGGUGAGUAAUGCAUCGGAACGUACCCAGAGGUGGGGGAUAACGCAGCGAAAGCUGUGCUAAUACCGCAUGUGAUCUGAGGAUGAAAGCGGGGGACCGAGCAGCAACGUUUGGCCUCGCGCCUUUGGAGCGGCCGAUGUCGGAUUAGCUAGUUGGUGGGGUAAGGGCCUACCAAGGCGACGAUCCGUAGCUGGUCUGAGAGGACGACCAGCCACACUGGGACUGAGACACGGCCCAGACUCCUACGGGAGGCAGCAGUGGGGAAUUUUGGACAAUGGGCGCAAGCCUGAUCCAGCAAUGCCGCGUGCGGGAAGAAGGCCUUCGGGUUGUAAACCGCUUUUGGCAGGAACGAAACGGUGUCCGCUAAUACCGGGCGCUAAUGACGGUACCUGCAGAAUAAGCACCGGCUAACUACGUG